rnacentral:lncRNA from 1 species
AUAUCCUCCCACAUAUAUAAGGAUUGUUGGCUAUUUAUUAUUAGCUAAAAUAUAUGGGUCCAAUUUUUUGUCCCGAGAUAAUUGGCCCAAUAGACUAGCAUUUGAGUGAGAUUGCGAUCCAUAAUAAACCUAACGGCACACGACAAGAGACCCAAUAAUAAAUCUUACAUCUAGAUAGAAUGAGUCUGAUCGAAACUCCUUGAGUGCUAAAAUUAUGUCCUUAAGUGCGAUGGGUGCGCCCUUUGAAUCAAUAUAUGCUUUUGAAAUAGCUGGUUAGUAUUUAGAAUAGCCAGAUAAUAAUUU